rnacentral:lncRNA from 1 species
CAUGGCUGAGCAGCCGUGGGUGCUUAAUGCGGAGGCCCGAGGGUUCCUACCUCGCUGUGUGGCCUCAGACAGUAGCUGCCGCCAACCCCCGGAUUCUUAGCUUUCUCCUCCAUUAAGGACACCUUCACGCCUCCAGCUCUAGGAGGCAAUAAGAGAUUAAAGAGGCCAGUAAUUUCACUAUGGCUGAACCAGAAGACCCAAGGAUCCAUCUCUUCGUGGUUCCGUGAGAGCAGGGAUCUAACACCUAGCACAAUGUCGCACAGAUGCUUUAAUAAG